GUACAUUAUCAAUGAUAUAUCCAAAUGGCCUCUUUCUCUCACACUGCUUGUGAUUCUACUAGCAAGCAUGUUUUUUUGUCAAUGAUAUAUCCAAAUGGCCUCCCCAGCCGGCCGCCACCCCUCGACCGCUGCCGCCGUCUUCCCGCCUCCUCGCUGGCGUGCUCACCUGCCCGACGCCACCAUCCCCAACCUCCACCCCGCCGGCCUUAUUAGGCUUGGCAACGGGAUGGGUCGGGGCCAGGGUGGAGAGGAGAGGAGACUGACCUAGGUUCUUGGCUGCCGGCGUGGGGAGAAGUCCUCGGCUUGGCUGUCGGCGUGUGGAGGCAGCGACAUCUGGGCUCCUGGCCAAUGGGUAGG
rnacentral:lncRNA from 1 species